ACGUAUUGCGCAAGUAUGUUUAUCACGAUUCAGUAUUUAUACAUGUUAUAUUUUAUAAUGAAUCAAGGAUAGAAAUCAGUGAGACUCGUGUAUAAAUAGUCUUAUCAUUGACUGUCAUCUCAAAACUGGAAUGAUUGUUCAAAAGAUCUGGAAAAAAAAGUCUACAACAAGACACAAAGUUCAUAUACUGUAUGUUUACGAUGAUGAUACAGGUGGAUGGAGGGAUGUGAUUCCAGACCAUCAAAAACUGUUGUAAAUGUUGUUUCCAAUGCCAGAUUCCGCAUUUUCCACGUUCUUUCCAUGAUCGUUGAAAAUCAUCACCCCUAAAACUGUAUGAAGGGGUGUGAAGAAAGAAUGAUCGCGGAAAAUCAUCACCCCUAAAACUGUAUGAUGGGGUGUAAAGAAAGAUUGAUUGAGACUUACCUCCAU